UGUCAGCAUUGUUUUUGGUGUUUCUGUUUCGCAGUGGCUUUUUUCUUUUUCAUUUUUCUUGUUUUGCCAGCUAUACACAGUGUGUUCCCGGCUUAAAUCAACUUUCCGCUGGCUGUCACAAUGUUUUUAUUUUUCAACCGAUCCAAUUCAUCAAUUGAUUUUAUUUGUAAACAACAUUUUCGAAUUAUUUCUCGUUUUAAAUAGGCUUACUGUUGAUUUUUGUUGUUGUUAAGUGUCAAGUUUUAUUUUGUCAAGAGUUGAAAAGAGUUGAAAUCCCAAACAAAAAGUGCUAACUGCAACUAAAAGAUAAAAUUUGUAAGGAAGAUUCCAUCAGUUUUGUAGAAAGUGACCAAAAUAUUGUCUGAGAAACAAGAACGAACUAUUACGAUGGCGAAUGGAAGCGAUUGCAAAAACGGCAAAUGGACGAUUAUUCCAUAAUUCAAGUUGACAAACGUUGGAGUUGAAGUUGGAGUACGGCGCACCCAUGUGAAAGCGAGCAAGAAUAUGAGUUUGGCUUGCAGUUGCCAGUCAAAACAAAUCGUAAAAUUUAUUGUCGAUUUGGUCGUAAAAUUUUCUUGCAGCAAGUGAACCAAGUGAAUUUAAUACGUUGUUUACGAUGGCCUUGGCCAUGGAUUUUGCCAUGACGAGCAAACGAGCGAGUGAAUGCGCGUCGAUUGUAAUAAAUGUUGAUGGCUAUGUAUGGGAUACGCGGAUUCACCAAAUACACAACUUUAACGAUGAUGAUUACGAUCAUGUAAAAAUAUCACUCAUGACGUCACUCUCAGUGUGCCGUUUAUUGCGUAAUAAUCAGCCAGACUCAUCCCGACCGAUGAAAUGAAAAUGUGGCACGUAAACGUCUCUUUCGGUAUGCAUAUUUAGCUGCAAAGAACACACACACAGUCGUAAUGAUAAAACUAAAUGAAUCCCGUGAUUGCGUUCCUGCUUUCAUCAAUCCAAACUCAAAGCGUUUAGCUCACUGUCUCACUCAUUUCCAUGGUAUCCGCCAUGGCGCAACACCACAAACAAAAAUCAAGAGCCAACAGAAGAAGAAUGAAAAAAGUAACGCCGUAUGAAAGAAGCAUGAAACGUUGACUGCAUCAACUGCCAAGCCAAUGCGAACACACACAAAGCAGACGCAUACUCCACAAACUACUUGGAUAAAUAGGUACUUAGUACUUAUGUUUAUGAUUAUUUUAUAUUUAUUACAUCUAUUUUUAUGGUGUUAAAGGAACUGAAAGGAGUCUCAUCCACCACAGUGUGUCUUAUACAAAGUAGGAGCAUGCAAGUUUUCUUUCGUUCACUUUGUUUAGCUUCUGAUUGUACGCAAGCACUUGAAAAUCAAUGCAAGUUUCGAUGAAUGGGCACUGAUUUCUCUUCUUUUUUUGCCCCACCCGUCUCCAUCAUGUACGUGCCAAUGUUUAUUCUCUUGAUCGAAAAACUGAAUGAUGAUUUUCACGAUGUGCGAUAACAUUUAAAUCUAUUGGAAAUGUAUUACUUGCUAAUAGGUAUGCAUCUGAUAAACAAGACCAAUACCAUUUUUGGCAUCGAAACUUUGGUUUUUUUUACUCGUACCAGUAAACAAGUUUUGGUUUAAAAUGGCGUUGUCGAUGUAAAAUAAAUCAUCCCAAAAGUAAAUAUCAUCACAGAAUGCCGUUGAAUCAUAUCAAUCGUAGUCGUUAGGAAAAUGAAACAGAAAUCGAGACGUCUGUGAUCAAUGUUUUAUAUUUUUCAACCUUUUUUCAAGUGCACAAAAGAAACACCCAGACAUAUAUACCAUGCUGAAACCGAUAAACAGAAAUAAAUCGAGAAUGUUUUAAAAAUAAAA